CUUGGUAAAUAGCACCUAUUGUGGUUAAGGCUGUCAUCACUCUCCCUCAAUUCCAGGCACAAAUGAGUUGAGGACCCUGGAGACCAGUCGUGCUGCCCCUGUAGCGUGUGGCACCUGGCUUCUACAGCUUGGACAACUCCUCCAGUAUCCAGCUCCUGCAAUGCAAGCGACUUCUUCAACAUCAGGGUCCUGCUGAUGCAAGCCAGGAUAGAUGGCUUCUUUAGCAUCCAUCUCCCCCAGUGCAUGGUGGCCAGAAUCAUCCGAAGGCCAGCAGCCUCCCCUGGCACUCCCACUACAGCACAAAUCGUGGGCUGGUUAUCCUCCAUUUGCCACUGCAGAUCCGCCUUCCUCCAUUCUCCACCCUGCUCCACGCACCGGGAGGCUGACCUCUGCAGAGUCCUUGUUGCUCCACCUUCCAGCUCAGCUCCGGUAACGGGACACUGGAAGGAGAGGAGAGAGCAGGAGGAGAGAGAUGUGAGCACAAUUAUUCCCCCGCUCCCUCUCAGCCAGACCUCAGGUGGGCAGUGGCCGCCUCCUCCACCUACAGUCCUGUCAGACAGUCUCUCUCCCACAGCCACAGCUUUGUUUGUUGCUCCUUCAGGACGAGGGAAGUUACUGCCCUCCCACAUCGCUACUCCCUGAGUGCUCCGCCAUUGCUCAUCUGUUACCUCAUCCCGGCCAGCACCUUUGUAAAUAAUCCUUCAUUAAACCCUUCAGUCACCAUGUUCGGCAAACCGUCUGUUUUCCGCGGAGCCCUGGCCAGUACAGCAGCCAUGGGAAGGAGGGGAGCAGGGGUCAGCGUUUGUUACAGAGGGGAUACAAGGAGAAAGACGGGGGCUUCUGACACGCAAAAUGGGAUCGUGGAGAAGGAUAAACGCCUUAAAGGCAGCCUCCUUAAAUUGCCUCUUCAGGUUAUUCUUCAGUUAGACUCGUUGCUCAUUUUCCCAUUAAGCAGGUGGGAAGUUGUGCAAGAGACUAGCUCAGCUAAAAACAAAGAUUAUAGGAACCACUGGUUUUCUGCACAUUCCUGGUUGAAGUGCAAUAUCAACCUGUAAGCACUAUGGGAACGUGGCUAACUAAAUGACAGAAUGACGGGAUGGAAUAUUAAUGAUGAUUACAGCAAACCUUAAUAAGCAACAGCUUAUAACAUGCUGCCAAGUGAAAAAGGAAGGCAGGAAACUUACGGUCAUCACGAUCUCAGUUAUGUUAAAAGCAUACACACACGAGCAGAGAAAAAGAGAACUUGUAAGGAAGUCACCAAAAUGUACAAAGAGGUUGCGUUUAGGUGGUGGAAUUAGGGGUGGUACUUAUUUUUUUCCUUUAUAUUUUUUUAAUACUCCAAUUUUUCUACAAUGAGCAUGAAUUGCUUUUGUAUCCAGAAUUUUAUCUGCUUUUUCUAAGAGAACAUGUGCGGCAUGAUCUGCUCACAUUAUCAGGAACGACCCAGACUGAGCGGCAAGUCCCAGCCAGGGCUUCCGUUUCCUGGGCGCCUGGGCCUGGUUAGUGCGGGAACCUUGGCAAACAACUGUCGGGUUAACUCUUUCUUCAGAAGAGAGGAGGAGGUGGUGCCACAGGGACCUUCUGCUGAGGGCUGCCGGUGGGAGUGCGGUCGCUAUCGUGAGUCCUGUCACCCUGGGUACCUACUGCGGAGAUCUGGGGAGUUCUUGUCUUCCAGGCAGGGUGAGUUGGGGCCAACUGUAGGGGGCUUCUGGAAAAUAAGUUGAGUCAGAAGUAGCCGUGUCCUUGGGGACAGGUGUGGGACUCUACCACCAGUGACACGCGCAGGGUAUGAAUGGUAUCCUUGGAGAGUGGAAAGCACCAUCAGGCCGGCUUAAUCAGGACCGGAGGGAACAUGUAAGCUGAUGUCCUUGUUCCUGCCGAGUGUGCGUCGUGCCUCGUGCCUUGUGCUUCGGAAGCCUAGCCGGCCACAGCAGACAUCUAGGCAAGCAGGCCCACAGGGACGGCCUCCUUACCGUCCUGGCUCCCUGAUGACAUCCCUGCAGGCUUCCCUCUUGAAUCAGCCACUGUGAAGUGAGGGCUAGGAGAGAACAGACGACACUUCUUGCCCUGACCGGUCUUCCCUUCCUGUUCUUUCCACCUUUGGCCGAGACACCACACAGAAGUGCAUUUUGGUUCUGUUUACAUUCUCGUCAGAAGGCGUGCUCAUUUCCAGGCAGCGCUUCUCACACAGUGAGGGACGUAAAGAUCAUCUGGGGCCCUUGUUAAAGCACAGGUUCCGACUCGGUCAUUCUAAGGUGGAGCCUGAGACCGGGCCUUUCUAAGAAGCCCCUGAUCCCACGGGAUGGAAGGGGCCCAGUCCUGUAUUCUA
ensembl:lncRNA